rnacentral:snRNA from 1 species
GGUUACCGACUGCAACAUCUGUCAUAUCAUUAAUCUCCAAGGUUAUUUUAUCUGAUCUGGUUUGGUAGGCAUGUGUCAUCUUCCUUCUUCAAUAUUCCACAUGUGUCCUUCCUGAAGCCGUGUGCUAAGUCAAAUAGGACCACUUUCCCCUAUAGAGGGGAAGAAUAAUCCACCAUGGAUAAAAGAAAACAGCAAUAGUGUAGAAGCUUAAAGUUCGAAAUGUAAUAGGGAACUUGAUUUCUGAAAUGAAGUUGC